AGAGUUUGAUCAUGGCUCAGGAUGAACGCUGGCGGCGUGCCUAACACAUGCAAGUCGAGCGAAGCAUUUUACUUGGAAUCUUUCGGGAGGACGAGUGAUCUGACUGAGCGGCGGACGGGUGAGUAACGCGUGGGUAACCUGCCUCAUACAGGGGGAUAACAGUUAGAAAUGGCUGCUAAUACCGCAUAAGCGCACAGGACCGCAUGGUCUGGUGUGAAAAACUCCGGUGGUAUGAGAUGGACCCGCGUCUGAUUAGCUAGUUGGUAAGGUAAUGGCUUACCAAGGCGACGAUCAGUAGCCGACCUGAGAGGGUGACCGGCCACAUUGGGACUGAGACACGGCCCAAACUCCUACGGGAGGCAGCAGUGGGGAAUAUUGCACAAUGGGGGAAACCCUGAUGCAGCGACGCCGCGUGAGCGAAGAAGUAUUUCGGUAUGUAAAGCUCUAUCAGCAGGGAAGAAACUGACGGUACCUGACUAAGAAGCACCGGCUAAAUACGUGCCAGCAGCCGCGGUAAUACGUAUGGUGCAAGCGUUAUCCGGAUUUACUGGGUGUAAAGGGAGCGUAGACGGAUAGGCAAGUCUGGAGUGAAAGCCCGGGGCUCAACCCCGGGACUGCUUUGGAAACUGUUAAUCUAGAGUGCUGGAGAGGUAAGUGGAAUUCCUAGUGUAGCGGUGAAAUGCGUAGAUAUUAGGAGGAACACCAGUGGCGAAGGCGGCUUACUGGACAGUAACUGACGUUGAGGCUCGAAAGCGUGGGGAGCAAACAGGAUUAAAUACCCUGGUAGUCC
rnacentral:rRNA from 1 species